UUAAAUUUCGGUCACCCACGAGGACAAAGAAGCCGCCCAUUGUUCCUCGAACUUUAUGUCUUCUUUGAUGAAAGGAAACCAAUUAAUAUGGCUUUUACUUUUAACUUAUCUUGAUUUUGCAACACCUGAUAAUAAGACAGAUGCCCCACGGACGACCUUGGAGAGUUGGAAUAAAUGUAAUACCACUUGUGGUAAGGGUCAUCAGACGAGGUCACGUGCAUGUGUUGACAUAGAAACCAAUGAAAAUUGCACUACUGUAUAUACUGAAUUCCGAAUUUGUUCAGGAUUGGACUGUACAGGAAAGUCAAAUUCUUCUCGUCGUCAUAGAAAGGUUCAGAAAGAUGACAACAUUGGAAUUGAUAACGCAGUAAACAGCGCAGUGUACAGUUUGGUUAUCUUCAUACCAGGAAUCAUUGGCUUCAUUUUUGUUUGUAUACGAACCCACAGGAAAACAAAAAUGGAAGAAAAACAGCUUAGGGAAGUGGAAAGACGAAAACUCUCCCUUAGAAAUGAUGACAUCACAUGAAACGUAUUAGUGAGCAAAAAUACCCAGUGAAGAUAUGCAUUAAUAUCCGUUUGUUGACAUUAAACUUCAUUACAUGCUUAGAAGCGAAUGUGUUGUUUUGUUUGGUUCAUUGACGAUGUAAUGAAGUAUGUAUGUUCAGCCAUUCUAAAACAUUCGAUGUUACCAUAUUUUUUACGUUGUUUGGCUGAUUAUACAGAAAAUUGUACUUUGGUACGCGGGAUGAAGAGUAUUUCUAUUUGGAGAUUAAAACAGAGACCGUUAUAUGUAUAUUUCGUAAGCUUAACCAGUGAACAAAUCCAGUCAACGAUAUAUUCUGUGACUCAUUGUACAUGUAUACUAGUAUUUAAUUAAUACACCUACAGAAACUUCUCAAUAUAAAUGAAGAAAAUUAUUAAUCAUCUAUUCAUUUUCGUUAGAAAUAAUGUAUUCUGGAGAGGAGACUUGGGCGACUGCUGCUGGCGUUUUGUGAGCUAUGAUUAUGAAGUUUGAGUAACGUAAUGGUCAUCAAGACCAAUAAAAAAGCGAGAUUGGUGCCCAUCUAGACACAAUAAUGACAGCAUGGACCUAAAUUGCUUCCUACAAAUAUCAUAAUAAUCGAUAGUAAUGCAAUUGUGUUCUUUGACAAUUGGUUAUCGCCAGGAAAGGGAAGUUUUCGGCACUGAUUUUGUCAAUGGUAUUUUCUUUGCUGACUUUUUUAAAUUUCAUAAUCGGCUUACAAUUCUUCGUCGUGUAAACAAGGCUCGUGCCCUGUUUUUGUUUACAUAGGUUCAAUAUACCAUUAAAAAUCUUUUAAAGCUGCUUUGUCUAUCUUAUUAUUCAUUUUAAGCAUAAAUAAACAGUUCCUUACGAUUAACACAUUCAUUUUAGGUCUAAAGCUGCUUUGUCUAUCUUAUUAUUCAUUUUAAGCAUAAAUAAACAGUUCCUUACGAUUAACACAUUCAUUUUAGGUCUAAAACUGGAAUUUUCACUCCAACAUUCAAAAUGUUAACAAACGCUUUGUUUACAUAGUGUAGAAUUGUAAGCUCUGUAACUCGCUUAUAACUCAUCAAAUGACACUCAAAUUUUGGUUGCCUAUUAAAAAUGCCUUACUGAAGCAUUGUAAACAUUAAAAUCGAAAAAAGGAUUUUUGGCCAAAAUCGUGACCAUGCCCCUUUAACCCUGGUAUUUGAUAACAGUUGAGAUUAAUGUAUGGUUAAAAAAGAUUAAAUUAAUAAUUUUUUGGGAGAGAAUAACAAGCUUAAGUUAUCUGAUAUCGAUUAUUUAGUACUUUACGAUGAAUACAUGUGAUUUUACAUUACGUAGGAUAUUUAAAAAUUAUCUUUUGUAAUAAAACUAAAUAUAUGUAAAUUAAAAAGUGUAAUAAAUGAUUUCAAAAAGUAUGGAAUAUUAUGGCUAUAGAACACGGGAUCGGUUUUCUUGAGAAAGCAAAUAAGUUUCGGUAGAAAAAUUGAAUUUCCUAUGAAAAAAAUACUACAUAAAUAUGACAACUUGCUCUGUAAGGUUGAUUGCCUGUUUCAAAGACAUUUAAUCUAAAAUGUGAUCAUUAAAUGACCUCAAGUUAUUGAUAAAUACCAACUGUAUUUUUUAAAAACUAUAUCAAGCUGGCAGUUUGCUUCCAAGUGAUAUUCAUUUUACAAACAAUUUUUUAUAGAGUACCGUUAUGUUGGCGAAAAGAGAGCUAGUUUUAAACAUUGCAAUGAAUAUCAUUGGACCCUACAUUACAAGUCCAAUAUCGACUUUUUUUAAUGCAAGGGUUACGUACAAGUUUAAAGUUCUCUCAUUUAUUCAACGAAAGAACCAUUUGAAUAAUCUUUUUACUUAGAAAAAUAUUUUAGAAAAAGGUCUUCUCUGUCACUUUCUUUCUACAGUACUGAUUGUCCUCGGGUUGUUGUGAUAUCAGGAUGGGAAUCUAUUCGUAUUUUCUGAUACUGGUUUUUCUUGUCGCUGUGUGUGAAUUUGCAACUUCUUAUCCCGCGGACUUCACGGAUUUAGACGAUGUCGACCUCCUUCUGGAAGACAAAAGGAACUUUGUAC